rnacentral:tRNA from 1 species
CAGGGAGACAACACAAUGAUUUUGAUGCCUGAGUGUUUUUAUUCUUAGGCCGAAAUCCUGUCACCUUAGGUCGAUCGGUACCUCAGCUUUGAAGUUAAGGAUCAGCAGCAAUGUUGAUUGCUUGAUGGAGAUUUUCAGUUCCUAAACUUUGUCUAGGUCACACCCCAAAAGGGAUGAGACUCCUGGGCCAUUAGCUCAGGUGGUUAGAGCGCACCCCUGAUAAGGGUGAGGUCCCUGGUUCAAGUCCAGGAUGGCCCAUUCGGUGUUGGGGGUUUAGCUCAGUUGGUAGAGCGCCUGCUUUGCAAGCAGGAUGUCAGGAGUUCGAGUCUCCUAACCUCCACUGACCGAACUUGAUUCCCAUCUCCAAUUUUUUUGGAGUUGAGCUCGAUUGGAGUGUGAUUUAGAUGUGUCCGCUGGAUGACCCCAGCUUCCUGUCAUUCCAAGUUUUAGAUUUUAAGUCUUAAAUUUGGUUGAUAAGAUGCUGGGCUCGGAUCAAAUGAUCAAGCAAUUGAUGAUUUGAUUUGAAGUUCUAGCAGAACCCUUGACAACUGCAUAGGUGAAGUCUGGAAAAACAAAGCAUCUUACAGAUGCAUUGUUUUGAAUCUGAUCUUCCGAAAGGGAGAUUGGAUCUAGAACAAUGAAAAUUCUUUUUAGCAGAGCCGAGACUCUUAAACGUUCUUUAAUUCGUGUCGAGCGAAUCAGAGUUUGAUCUUGUUUUUAGCAAUAAAAACUUGAGAUCUGCUUCACGGCGGUAGCCGUUAGGAGGUAUG